rnacentral:rRNA from 1 species
UACGUAGGGGGCAAGCGUUGUUCGGAAUUACUGGGCGUAAAGGGCGCGUAGGCGGCCAACUAAGUCAGACGUGAAAUCCCCAGGCUCAACCUGGGAACUGCGUCUGAUACUGGUUGGCUUGAAUCCGGGAGAGGGAUGCAGAAUUCCAGGUGUAGCGGUGAAAUGCGUAGAUAUCUGGAGGAACACCGGUGGCGAAGGCGGCAUCCUGGACCGACACUGACACUGAGGAGCGAAAGCCAGGGGAGCAAACGGG